rnacentral:rRNA from 1 species
UACGAAGGGUGCAAGCGUUAAUCGGAAUUACUGGGCGUAAAGGGUGCGUAGGCGGUUGUUUAAGUCUGUCGUGAAAUCCCCGGGCUCAACCUGGGAAUGGCGAUGGAUACUGGCGAGCUAGAGUGUGUCAGAGGAUGGUGGAAUUCCCGGUGUAGUGGUGAAAUGCGUAGAGAUCGGGAGGAAUACCCGUGGCGAAGGCGGCCAGCUGGGCUACACCUGACACUGAGACGCGAAGGCGUGGGGAGCGAACGGG